GGUAACUUGGCCGAGCGGUCUAAGGCGCUAGACUCAAGACUUUGUCUUGCCUGUCCAAAGCAGGUGAAUUCUAGUCUCGCAAGAGGCGUGCGUUCGAAUCGCACAGUUAUCA